UUGGCCCAGAGCCCCCAAGUUCAUCAUUCACAAUGAUGCCUCAGAAACCCUCCCAGAGCCCCUCCACUCCAACAGACGUCACCUCGAAGCCAGCUGCAGAAGCUGUGCAGGGCGAGCACAGCGACACCGGCCCCACGUCCCUCAGCGGGCUCAUCCUGUCAGCACUGGGGGCCCAAGAACUCCUCGACUCGCUGCACUCCUCCAGCUUCUGCUCCCGGGGGAACAGGAGCACGGGUGCCGCCUGCGGGAGCAGGUGGGGAAGAACGGCGAGCUGAAGAGGGGCAGCCGCCGACAGCCAGGUGCACACGCUGCAGGAGGAGCUGGACGAGCUGAAGGGAGGGGGCUCCCUGCCUUAGCAGCCUGCUGCCCCCAGCCAAGGAAUGGAAUCUUAAACCAGUCAGUGGGGAAUCGCCUGAUGAGCAGCAGUUUGGUGGCAGCAGUGGGAUUCAAAAGACUCAUCUGAUGGCUUCGGAGAUGAGAAACACAGGCAUCAGUACCCGCAAAACCUUUGAGUUCUCCAUCUUUUUCGCUGUUUCCGAGGGCCGUGGGUCUACUGAGACAUACUUGAUAUACAGCACUGUACAAGUUAACACUGCUGUGUGGUAUAUUUGAAAGUUGCCAAGAGAGUAGAUCCUAAAACUUCUCAUCACCAGGAUAAAAGCUUUUAUUUCUGUUUCGUGAUGGAUGUUAACUAACCUUAUUUUGGUAACCAUUACAUAAUAUAUAUAUCAAGUCA